rnacentral:miRNA from 1 species
GCAGCAAGGGUGGUCCAGGGAGU